GCAUAAUCAUUUGCCCUAUAAUUGAGGGCUAGUAUGAAAGGCAAGACGAGGGCCCAACUGUCUCCAGAAUGACUAAAAAAUUAUGCUUUAAGUGAAGACACUUAAAUAUUUCCACCGGGCAAGAAGACCCUAUAGAGCUUUACUAAAAAUUUGAACUCCUUUCGUAUCAUUUACAGGCCUAUUUCAAUUUAAUAGUUUGGUUGGGGCGACCCAGGAAUAAAGCUUCCUUUUCUCAAAAGGCACACAAGCCACCAAUUUGAUCCAAUAAUUUUGAACAACGAAUCAAGCUACCUUAGGGAUAACAGCGGAAUCUUUUCCGAGAGUUCAUAUCUACGAAAAGGG
rnacentral:rRNA from 1 species